rnacentral:rRNA from 1 species
UACGUAGGGUGCGAGCGUUAUCCGGAAUUAUUGGGCGUAAAGGGCUCGUAGGCGGUUUGUCACGUCGGGUGUGAAAACUCGGGGCUUAACCCCGAGCCUGCUUCCGAUACGGGCUGACUAGAGGUAUGCAGGGGAGAACGUAAUUCCUGGUGUAGCGGUGAAAUGCGCAGAUAUCAGGAGGAACACCGGUGGCGAAGGCGGCAUCCUGGGCCGGUAUUGACGCUGAGGAGCGAAAGCCAGGGGAGCAAACGGG